CAUACCAUCACACAUGCUGGCUUUUGAACUUUACGUCGAUAACAGUCUGGAUGGUUCCCCUCCCCUCUGGUCCCGUCACACAUGGACUUGGACUUUGGUUGUUUCUUCGACGCAGAGGAUGAUUUGCACGAGCCAGACGCGAAUGCUUUGCCAUCUCCUGACCGCACGUGACCUUCUGCGCGAAACUCUCCCUCACAAAACCGGGCCCUGUGUCAAGCACGGACUCGGAUUUGUUUUGCUUCUUCCACGCAAAGGAUGAUUGGCACGAGCCAGACAAGAGUGUGAGUACAUUUUUGAUUUACUUAAACACUAUAAUUCAAAACAGG